rnacentral:rRNA from 1 species
AGAGUUUGAUCAUGGCUCAGGAUGAACGCUGACAGAAUGCUUAACACAUGCAAGUCAACUUAAACUUCGGUUUGGGUGGCGGACGGGUGAGUAACGCGUAAAGAACUUGCCUCACAGCUAGGGACAACAUUUGGAAACGAAUGCUAAUACCUGAUAUUAUGAUUUUAGGGCAUCCUAAGAUUAUGAAAGCUAUAUGCACUGUGAGAGAGCUUUGCGUCCCAUUAGCUAGUUGGAGAGGUAACGGCUCACCAAGGCGAUGAUGGGUAGCCGGCCUGAGAGGGUGAUCGGCCACAAGGGGACUGAGACACGGCCCUUACUCCUACGGGAGGCAGCAGUGGGGAAUAUUGGACAAUGGACCAAGAGUCUGAUCCAGCAAUUCUGUGUGCACGAUGAAGUUUUUCGGAAUGUAAAGUGCUUUCAGUUGGGAAGAAAAAAAUGACGGUACCAACAGAAGAAGUGACGGCUAAAUACGUGCCAGCAGCCGCGGUAAUACGUAUGUCACAAGCGUUAUCCGGAUUUAUUGGGCGUAAAGCGCGUCUAGGUGGUUAUGUAAGUCUGAUGUGAAAAUGCAGGGCUCAACUCUGUAUUGCGUUGGAAACUGUGUAACUAGAGUACUGGAGAGGUAAGCGGAACUACAAGUGUAGAGGUGAAAUUCGUAGAUAUUUGUAGGAAUGCCGAUGGGGAAGCCAGCUUACUGGACAGAUACUGACGCUGAAGCGCGAAAGCGUGGGUAGCAAACAGGAUUAGAUACCCUGGUAGUCCAA